CUGCUCCUUACUGUGCAACUGGCUGAUAAGGCAAAGGGAAGAUGGAGCCUCCAUGUUGGACAUGCCUGGCCCCAGGUGGCCUCUUCCUGUUGGCACAGCUGCAGUUGAAUGCAAUCUCUGGGAGUUUCCACAUCUCUCUUGUCCACGUCUUCACUCAUAUCAUCUAGCACCACAUCAGGCGGCUACAGGGUGUUCGACAAAUAGCCCUUGCGCUCAUUCAUUCAUCUCUUCAAUUGUUCAUUUUUUAAUCACAUCUGUAUUCAGUCCUAUAUUCAAUGAAGCUUUUAAUGAAUGCCCACUCUAGUCAGUGCUUUAGACAGAGCAUGCUUAGUUGACAUGUGGGUAUUAGAAAUAAAACAUUGUCUAAAUUGAAAAAUAUAAGCUGGAAGAUAUUUCCAUUCAUGAUUUUGUCUCCACGUUUAGAUUCUGCAAAGAAUCCCUGAUGCAUAGGGCAUCAUCCCCGAUGGAGAAUUCUUCCUUUGGACAGACAACCCAAAUAAAGUUCUCUUUGAAAUGUUUGUGGAUGGGUAGAGAACUCUGGAUUGCAGCAGCUGGUACUUGAUGUAG
rnacentral:lncRNA from 10 species